rnacentral:pre_miRNA from 9 species
AUUUUAGUUGAAGGUUUCUUUAAAUUCCCUCAUUUAAAAAUUUAAAAAUGAGGGAAUUUAAAGAAACCUUCAACUAUGUC